UACGUAGGUGGCGAGCGUUGUCCGGAUUUACUGGGCGUAAAGGGCGUGCAGGCGGUUUGUUAAGUGCAGGGUGAAAGCUCCCGGCUCAACUGGGAGAGGUCCUUGCAUACUGGCGAACUCGAGGGAGGCAGAGGAAAGUGGAAUUCCCGGUGUAGUGGUGAUAUGCGUAGAUAUCGGGAGGAACACCUGUGGCGAAGGCGGCUUUCUGGGCCUUACCUGACGCUGGAGACGCGAAAGCGUGGGGAGCGAACCGG
rnacentral:rRNA from 1 species